UAAUACGUAGGGUGCAAGCGUUAAUCGGAAUUACUGGGCGUAAAGCGUGCGCAGGCGGUUAUAUAAGACAGAUGUGAAAUCCCCGGGCUCAACCUGGGAACUGCAUUUGUGACUGUAUGGCUAGAGUACGGCAGAGGGGGAUGGAAUUCCGCGUGUAGCAGUGAAAUGCGUAGAUAUGCGGAGGAACACCGAUGGCGAAGGCAAUCCCCUGGGCCUGUACUGACGCUCAUGCACGAAAGCGUGGGGAGCAAACAGG
rnacentral:rRNA from 1 species